rnacentral:rRNA from 1 species
UACGUAGGGGGCAAGCGUUGUCCGGAAUCAUUGGGCGUAAAGCGCGUGUAGGCGGCCCGAUAAGUCCGCUGUGAAAGUCACAGGCUCAACCUGUGAAUGCCGCUGGAAACUGUCUGGCUAGAGUCCGGAAAGGGCGAGUGGAAUUCCUGGUGUAGCGGUGAAAUGCGCAGAUAUCAGGAGGAACACCAAUGGCGAAGGCAGCUCGCUGGGACGGUACUGACGCUGGAGGCGACGAAAGCCGUGGGGAGCGAACAGG